rnacentral:rRNA from 1 species
AUUGAACGCUGGCGGCAGGCUUAACACAUGCAAGUCGAGCGGAGUGAUGGUGCUUGCACUAUCACUUAGCGGCGGACGGGUGAGUAAUGCUUAGGAAUCUGCCUAUUAGUGCGGGACAACAUCUCGAAAGGGAUGCUAAUACCGCAUACGUCCUACGGGAGAGAGCAGGGGCUCACUUGUGACCUUGCGCUAAUAGAUGAGCCUAAGGCGGAUUAGCUAGUUGGUGGGGUAAAGGCCUACCAAGGCGAGGAUCUGUAGCGGGUCUGAGAGGAUGGUCCGCCACACCGGGACUGAGACACGGCCCAGACUCCUACGGGAGGCAGCAGUGGGGAAUAUUGGACAAUGGGGGGAACCCUGAUCCAGCCAUGCCGCGUGUGUGAAGAAGGCCUUAUGGUUGUAAAGCACUUUAAGCGAGGAGGAGGCUCUUUUGGUUAAUACCCAAGAUGAGUGGACGUUACUCGCAGAAUAAGCACCGGCUAACUCUGUGCCAGCAGCCGCGGUAACAC